AGUGAACGCUGGCGGUAGGCCUAACACAUGCAAGUCGAACGGCAGCACAGGAGAGCUUGCUCUCUGGGUGGCGAGUGGCGGACGGGUGAGGAAUACAUCGGAAUCUACUUUUUCGUGAGGGAUAACGUAGGGAAACUUACGCUGAUACCGCAUACGACCUACGGGGGACAGCAGCGGAUCUUCGGACCUUGCGCGAUUGAAUGAGCCGAGGUCGGAUUAGCUAGUUGGCGGGGUAAAGGCCCACCAAGGCGACGAUCCGUAGCUGGUCUGAGAGGAUGAUCAGCACCACUGGAACUGAGACACGGUCCAGACUCCUACGGGAGGCAGCAGUGGGGAAUAUUGGACAAUGGGCGCAAGCCUGAUCCAGCCAUACCGCGUGGGUGAAGAAGGCCUUCGGGUUGUAAAGCCCUUUUGUUGGGAAAGAAAUCCAGCUGGUUAAUACCCGGUUGGGAUGACGGUACCCAAAGAAUAAGCACCGGCUAACGUCGUGCCAGCCGCCGCCGGUAA
rnacentral:rRNA from 1 species